GCGGGUAUAGUUUAGUGGUAAAACGAGUGCUUCCCAAGCAUUAGUCGCGGGUCCGAUUCCCGCUACCCGCU
rnacentral:tRNA from 1 species